rnacentral:rRNA from 1 species
CCGAACCGACUAAUGUUGAAAAAUUAGCGGAUGACCUGUGGCUGGGGGUGAAAGGCCAAUCAAACCGGGAGAUAGCUGGUUCUCCCCGAAAGCUAUUUAGGUAGCGCCUCGUGAAUUCAUCUCCGGGGGUAGAGCACUGUUUCGGCUAGGGGGCCAUCCCGGCUUACCAACCCGAUGCAAACUGCGAAUACCGGAGAAUGUUAUCACGGGAGACACACGGCGGGUGCUAACGUCCGUCGUGAAGAGGGAAACAACCCAGACCGCCAGCUAAGGUCCCAAAGUCAUGGUUAAGUGGGAAACGAUGUGGGAAGGCCCAGACAGCCAGGAUGUUGGCUUAGAAGCAGCCAUCAUUUAAAGAAAGCGUAAUAGCUCACUGGUCGAGUCGGCCUGCGCGGAAGAUGUAACGGGGCUAAACCAUGCACCGAAGCUGCGGCAGCGACACUGUGUGUUGUUGGGUAGGGGAGCGUUCUGUAAGCCUGUGAAGGU